GAUGAAGAACGCAGCGAAAUGCGAUAACUAAUGUGAAUUGCAGAAUUCCGUGAAUCAUCGAAUCUUUGAACGCACAUUGCGCCCCCUGGUAUUCCGGGGGGCAUGCCUGUUCGAGCGUCAUUUCACCACUCAAGCCUCGCUUGGUAUUGGGCAACGCGGUCCGCCGCGUGCCUCAAAUCGACCGGCUGGGUCUUCUGUCCCCUAAGCGUUGUGGAAACUUUCGCUAAAGGGUGUUCGGGAGGCUACGCCGUAAAACAACCCCAUUUCUAAGGUUGACCUCGGAUCAGGUAGGGAUACCCGCUGAACUUAAGCAUAUCAAUAAGCGGAGGA
rnacentral:misc_RNA from 1 species